rnacentral:misc_RNA from 1 species
AGAAGCUUCAAUGCCCUCUUCUCUUAAAAGAAUGUUGAGGAACUCAACGUGAUACUUGGUGGAAACAAAAACUAUAGUCUGCUGAUCAGAAGUUAUUUGUUCACGAAUCAGAUACAGAAGUGCAGCAUGCUUCUCCUCCUGUCUUACAGUGAAAAAUGCAACCUUCAAGUCUGGACUUAUCUUUGUAUCCAAAUCAAGCCUCACAAGCUGAGGGUCUCGAAGCCCAGCCUUAGCAAAUUCAGCAAGGGCACUGGGUAAAGUUGCACUAAAAAGCAGAGUCUGGCGGUUCUCACCUAGAUGGGUGAGAAUUCUAUGCAAUUGCUCAGCAAAACCCAUGCUAAACAAACAAUCAGCUUCAUCAAAAACAACAUAUUCCACAGUGCGCAGUGACAUAUCAUCAACCUCAGAUAAAUGGUGCAUGAGCCGACCAGGAGUUG